rnacentral:rRNA from 1 species
CCUACGGGCGGCUGCAGUGGGGAAUAUUGGACAAUGGGGGCAACCCUGAUCCAGCCAUGCCGCGUGUGUGAAGAAGGCCCUCGGGUUGUAAAGCACUUUCAGUGAGGAAGAACGCCUGGUGGUUAAUACCCAUCAGGAAAGACAUCACUCACAGAAGAAGCACCGGCUAACUCCGUGCCAGCAGCCGCGGUAAUACGGAGGGUGCGAGCGUUAAUCGGAAUUACUGGGCGUAAAGCGCGCGUAGGUGGCUUGAUAAGCCGGUUGUGAAAGCCCCGGCUCAACCUGGGAACGGCAUCCGGAACUGUCAAGCUAGAGUGCAGGAGAGGAAGGUAGAAUUCCCGGUGUAGCGGUGAAAUGCGUAGAGAUCGGGAGGAAUACCAGUGGCGAAGGCGGCCUUCUGGACUGACACUGACACUGAGGUGCGAAAGCGUGGGUAGCAAACAGGAUUAGAUACCCUAGUAGUC